AAUCAACGCUGGCGGCGUGCCUCAGACAUGCAAGUUGAACGAUUAAAGCUCUCUUCGGAGAGUGCAUAAAGUGGCGCACGGGUGAGUAACACGUAAGUAAUCUACCCUCGAGUGGGGAAUAACGUCCGGAAACGGACGCUAAUACCGCAUAACGCAGCGGCACCGCAAGGUGACAGUUGUUAAAGGAGAAAUCCGCUUGAGGAGGAGCUUGCGGCAGAUUAGCUUGNGGUAAGGUAACGGCUUACCAAGGCUACGAUCGGUAGCCGGCCUGAGAGGGCGGACGGCCACACUGGGACUGAGACACGGCCCAGACUCCUACGGGAGGCAGCAGUGGGGAAUAUUGGACAAUGGGCGCAAGCCUGACGCAGCGACGCCGCGUGAGGGAUGACGGCCU
rnacentral:rRNA from 1 species